AACUUCAAUCCCAAACCCUCAUUCCCCAUAUUCAUAACCUUCAAAAUAAAGAAUCCAAUUUCAAAUCUAUACCCAAUAAUCAAACAUUUAAUUCUAGUGGAGAAAAGUAAUAUCUCAUUGAGGGAAAAAAGGAAGAAGGUGCAGUGAAUAUUACCUUGCUUUUCCAUGGCUAAUAUGUUAAAAAAGAAAAAAGAAAAAAAAACAAAG
rnacentral:lncRNA from 1 species